GACGAACGCUGGCGGCGUGCUUAACACAUGCAAGUCGAGCGGUAAGGCCCUUCGGGGUACACGAGCGGCGAACGGGUGAGUAACACGUGGGUGACCUGCCCCCAACUCUGGGAUAAGCCCGGGAAACUGGGUCUAAUACCGGAUAUGACCACGGAUCGCAUGGUGUAUGGUGGAAAGAUUUUUUGGUUGGGGAUGGGCCCGCGGCCUAUCAGCUUGUUGGUGGGGUGAUGGCCUACCAAGGCGACGACGGGUAGCCGGCCUGAGAGGGCGACCGGCCACACUGGGACUGAGACACGGCCCAGACUCCUACGGGAGGCAGCAGUGGGGAAUAUUGCGCAAUGGGCGAAAGCCUGACGCAGCGACGCCGCGU
rnacentral:rRNA from 1 species